GACGAACGCUGGCGGCGUGCUUAACACAUGCAAGUCGAGCGGUAAGGCCCUUUCGGGGGUACACGAGCGGCGAACGGGUGAGUAACACGUGGGUGACCUGCCCUUAGCUCUGGGAUAAGCCUGGGAAACUGGGUCUAAUACCGGAUAUGACCUCAUGACUCAUGUUGUGGGGUGGAAAGCCUUGUGCGGCUAGGGAUGGGCCCGCGGUCUAUCAGCUUGUUGGUGGGGUAAUUGCCUACCAAGGCGACGACGGGUAGCCGGCCUGAGAGGGCGACCGGCCACACUGGGACUGAGACACGGCCCAGACUCCUACGGGAGGCAGCAGUGGGGAAUCUUGCGCAAUGGCGAAAGCCUGACGCAGCGACGCCGCGUGAGGAUGACGGCCU
rnacentral:rRNA from 1 species